AGUUGUUGACUUUUUUGUCAACGGAUUGACUAUAGUCAACCAUUAUCCAUGAGUUAUCACUAAGCUUGUGCUCAUUUCACGGUUCAACAUGCAGAGUCAUUCCAUCUUUUGUUGCUAACUUUUGGACCUAACUUGUUUUCAUUCCCUGUUUUCAUAUUCUGUUUCAUUAAACCAGUCAAUUGCGAACUAUUCUCUUUUUAAAUUAUUUUAAAUUGUAUCCUAAAUUAAUACUAGGGAACGAUUUGUAACAUGAUUG
rnacentral:lncRNA from 1 species